rnacentral:rRNA from 1 species
UACGAAGGUGGCAAGCGUUGUUCGGAUUUACUGGGCGUACAGGGAGCGUAGGCGGUUGGAUAAGCCCUCCGUGAAAUCUCCAGGCUUAACCUGGAAAGUGCAGAGGGGACUGUUCAGCUAGAGGAUGGGAGAGGAGCGCGGAAUUCUCGGUGUAGCGGUGAAAUGCGUAGAGUAUCGAGAGGAACACCUGCGGCGAAGGCGGGUUGCUGGGCUGACACUGACGUGAGGCGCGAAAGCUAGGGGAGCGAACGGG